rnacentral:rRNA from 1 species
GAAUUUUGGGCAAUGGGCGAAAGCCUGACCCAGCAACGCCGCGUGAAGGAUGAAAUCCCUCGGGAUGUAAACUUCGCAAGAACGGGAAGAAUAAGUAAGAGUUAAUAUCCCUUACGAUGACGGUACUGUUUGUAAGCCACGGCUAACCCCGUGCCAGCAGCCGCGGUAAUACGGGGGGAGCAAGCGUUGUUCGGAUUUACUGGGCGUGAAGGGCGCGUAGGCGGCCUCUGCAAGUCGACUGUGAAAUCUCCGGGCUUAACCCGGAAAGGUCAGCCGAUACUGCAGGGCUAGAGUGCAGAAGGGGCAACUGGAAUUCUCGGUGUAGCGGUGAAAUGCGUAGAUAUCGAGAGGAACACCUGCGGCGAAGGCGGGUUGCUGGGCUGACACUGACGCUGAGGCGCGAAAGCUAGGGGAGCGAACGGG